UAUUUCCAAUAUCUGAAUACACAAGGAAAUUAUAAUCUCCUCCUUCACCUUAUGGAUCUCUUUCUUACAACAAUUCAGUCAUACGAAUAAUUGCUAUUUCCACCAAUAUAUUCACCCUCAUAAUCUCCAACUGUAAUAUUGUGCCCUCACAGCUUUCAAUACACAAUUACCCUCAUUCUAAUCACUGGAAUUCUUCACACAGAACUGCCAUUCACAUUACAGUAUUUUACACAAACACAGACUCAUUCUAUCUGCUGAACUACAAUCAGAUUUCAGCAUUCAAACUUUCUUUUUCUCAAAUAAUACCAAUUACAUUUCCAUUCCAUAAUUCACUUCACAAUAUUCAGAAACUCUCAAUCCUCUUAUUCAAAGAAAAUAACAAACAAAAGAAAAGAAAUAGCACUAAGCUUACCCCGGCU
rnacentral:lncRNA from 1 species